GAGUUUGAUCAUGGCUCAGAACGAACGCUGGCGGCAUGCCUAACACAUGCAAGUCGAACGAUGGCUUCGGCCAUAGUGGCGCACGGGUGAGUAACGCGUGGGAACCUGCCUUUUGGUUUGGGAUAACUCCGGGAAACUGGAGCUAAUACCGGAUGAGCCCGAGCAAUCGGGGAAAGAUUUAUCGCCAAAAGAGGGGCCCGCGUCCGAUUAGGUAGUUGGUGGGGUAACGGCCUACCAAGCCUACGAUCGGUAGCUGGUCUGAGAGGAUGAUCAGCCACACUGGAACUGAGACACGGUCCAGACUCCUACGGGAGGCAGCAGUGGGGAAUUUUGGACAAUGGGCGCAAGCCUGAUCCAGCCAUGCCGCGUGAGUGAAGAAGGCCUUCGGUU
rnacentral:rRNA from 1 species